rnacentral:rRNA from 1 species
CACCGCCCGUCACACUAUGGGAGCUGGCCAUGCCCGAAGCCAUUACCUUAAUUGCAAGGAGGGGGGAUGCCGAAGGUAGGGCUAGUGACUGGAGUGAAGUCGUAACAAGGUAGCCGUAUUGGAAGGUGCGGCUG